rnacentral:rRNA from 1 species
UACGUAGGGUGCAAGCGUUGUCCGGAAUUAUUGGGCGUAAAGAGCGUGUAGGCGGCCCGAUUAGUCCGCUGUGAAAGUCCAGGGCUCAACCCUGGAAUGCCGGUGGAUACUGUCGGGCUCGAGUCCGGAAGAGGCGAGUGGAAUUCCUGGUGUAGUGGUGAAAUGCGUAGAGAUCCGGAGGAACACCAAAGGCGCAGGCAGGGUCCUGGGAAGCCACUGACGCUCAUGGACGAAAGCUAGGGGAGCGAACGGG